UUUCAUUUUAAUAACAAAGCGCUUAUGAGCUUGGUUCAUAUUCAUGUUUAUUUUCUAAAGCAAAUGAUCCCAUUAUCUUCCUUUUGACUGUGGGAGGACAGGAGAGAAACAGCAGGAGAAAGACAGCUGAAGGAAAGGUCGCGAAUAUCGAUUUGAUUGUUCAGGCAGGUGAUUAACUGCCUCUGCAGAGGCAGCCCCAAGGGCCAUGGAAGCCGUUGCUCAAUUUAAGACUUUCCCAAGUUUCCCUCCUUGUUUUUGAAACCUGAUCUUUGUUUCACAGGCAUACAUGGGUAGCUUGAUAACUUCAUAUUGUGGGGUGUAAUUUUUCCUCCAGAUUCAAGACUAGCAAAGCAGGUGAUAGCUCUAUGCACAGUGCAUCUCCGUGCUAGUGUUUGUCUUUGCCUGCCAAGGUGGGAAGCAACAAGAGCUAGUAGAAGAUGCCCAGAAAGAUCAGACCUGAGAAACACAGCCUAGACCCAGAAGAGCUAGAAAGUGGACCAAAAGCCUCCUUCCUCCCAGGAAGCACAAUGAAAGCUAAGAGGCAAAGAAAUGAAAAGAAUGAGAAUGCUCUACAGACAUCACAUCGGAAAGAAAACACUAGCAUGGGCCAGUAUGGAGUGGACGGAGGAACAGGAGAGACAGGGUUCAGGGGCAGAGGAAGAAGACACGGACCAGAUGAGGUGAGAAACAGCCUCCUCUGUCAGCAGGGCCCUGGCAGAGUGCUCAUUACCGUUGACUUCUCACCACCCUUCCCGCACACUAGACGAUCAGUCGAGGCUGGCUGUGGUAAUUCCAUUCGCCUUACCAGUUAGGAAAGGGGCUUGUGACCCAGUGAGGAAAGGUCUGCCGAGAGGCUUCUGGAAUAGGUUUUCUCACUCUGAUGAAAGAGAGGAAGAGAUGGCCUUUCUUCUUUUAUUGGGAAUAUACUCAACCAAAUCUAUUCUCUGAAAUUGGGAGAGUGGGUGAAUGGAAAGAACUUCAGUAUUUAAUGACCUUGUUGAAUUAUUAAUCAACCGAUCUUGAGUCCUGUGCUCCUGGACUUCUAUUCAUGGGAAGUAAUGUUUCCCUGUGCUUAAGCCAGUUUACCUAUUUAUUUAUUGAAGAUCUGAUUGGCUUUAUUAACUGGUUCAUGAAUUGGGCAACACCUCAUCUAGCAAGUAGAGGGGAGCUCCCAAGCAAGUUUAACUCAGGGUUUUCUGUUAACUAUUAACCAAGAAUUCUCUAAUUGAAAUAAUUAAUGAGAUAUAUUGGGUAUUUCACCAAAACACUUGCAGGCUAUAUUCUAUUUUAUUUUAUUUUAUUUUAUUUUAUUUUAUUUAUUUUAUUUUAUUUUAUUUUAUUUUAUUUUAUUUUAUUUUAUUUUAUUUGAAAGAGAGAGAAAGAGAAAAAGGAGUGCAAGCUGGGGAGAGACAGAGGGAGAGGGAGAGAGAAAAUCUUAAGCAGGCUCCAGGUCCAGCACAGAGAUGGACACAGGAGUGGAUCUCACAACACUGAGAUCAUGACCUGAGCUGAAAUCAAGAGUUGGACCUUCAACUGAGCCACCCAGGCACCCGAAGACUAUAUUUUAAUUACAGUUUCCAUAACGUAUAUUUAUACGUAAGUUGACUGAGCCUAGUUCAUUCCAGUUUGGGUUCUCUUCUCAACUCAUGGUGAUCUUUCUCAAGUUCUAACUCAAGAAUUCCUUCAUAUGUUUUUUAGUGGAAAGGCAUCUAAACUAACUGACUCUAAGUAACUUUGCAACCAAGAUACUGGUAUUCAGAAUGGGAGGAUAAGCAAACAGCAUCAGUUACGAAAUAAGGCUUAAAACAUCUAUGCAUGUGUUACAUAUCAAUCCCUUCCAGAUUAUGUGAUAAAUGAGUUAAUAAGGAUGUCAUCACCUAACCAAUCUGCCAUUCCUAACAAUGUGACCAGAAAAUAAAUAGAAUUUAUAAAGAAUUUCUUUAUUCUUC
rnacentral:lncRNA from 1 species